GGCCGGCCAGGGACGCAGCUCGGUCCCCGCAGGCAGGUCCCGGGUCGGAGGGCAGCCGCCCCUCCUCCAGGAAGCGGGGCGAGGCGGCCCCGGCUCCCCCCAAAUCCCCGAACCGCCAGCCUUUUGUACUUCCCGACGUUUCCAAAGCUUCGAGCCCUCUCCUCGCGCGAGAGUUCCUCCGCGGGGCCGAGCGGGGGCACCUUCUCUACCGAGAGGACUCGCCGUCCCGAUCCUGGCCUGGUCCCACCUGCCUGUGAGACAGGAGGGGCGGGGGCCACGCCCUUCCCCGGGAAAGCCGACAAUCCUUGGUGGGGUGGGGAGGGCUGGGCUCGCCUACGGAAAGGGACGCAGAGUGGCAUUGGCGCCCCAGGCCCUCUAGCUCCCCACCCCCCGCCUCCCCCACCCCCGCGCCGACGCCCUUCCCGCCAAGCCUUCUUCCUCCCCAGGAGAGGCCCAGGCUAGGGGCUGGUCCUUCUACCCCCACCCUGACCCUGCCGAUAGGUCCUUGCAGGUGAGCACGGAACACUUUAGAAGACACGUCCUCCCAGAGCCCCUGGUGGGAAAAGUGCGCCUGAUGGAAGCCUAACUUCCAUGGGCCCUGGGAGAGGAUUACAGAACCGCCUGGUUGGCCGGACUUGGUCUAGAGCCGUCUCCAGCUCAGCUCUUCCCGAGUCGCCACCCCGCUGGAACCUGUCUUGUGUGUGAGGGCCUCACUCCUCUCUCGGAGGUGCCCAGAGGACUGUGGGAAGAAGGGCAAAGUCUCUUUCCAGAGGAGCGUGCACAGACCCUCAUCUCCCACGACCACACUUUUGGGGUGAACAGGGUGACUUUGUUAGGUCGAUUCUUCUGCAGAGAUGGUGAAGUACUCUAUCUGCCCACCCACCCACUAAAAGCCAUAGCUCCGUCCGCCUGGCCUCCCCCCAGCUCUAUAGCAAUAGCCCCCUUCCCCCUUCCCUCCUGGGCAUCCAGGGUGUCCAGCUAGGGGCCCCCACCGCACUCUGGUCCCAGGGAUCUUCCAGUGGCCUGCCUGCUUCUCCCGAAGUGACCCCAUCAGCUCCACCCAACUCCCAUCCCUCUUCCAGCAACCACAGAUAAUGACAAUUGUUUGUGAGGUGCUUGGAGAUCCCCUAGAUGAAAGGUUCUGGGUGCUGGGGCAGCUGACUCACUGACUCUCAGCUGAGGUGCUGGAGGUGCCUGGGAAAGGAAAUAAGGCAAGCUGGGGGAGCACCUGUAGCAGAUACAGGGUUCCAGUUUUCACAGAAAUUCCCCUCCUCGCCCUCCUGGAAAUAAUGGAAACCCCUCCACCCGCCUGCACAGAACCCUCUGUGCAGCAGAACGAGACUGGGAGCUGGAGUGCAUGGCCCGCUCUUGGCCACAGGGGCCCAACUCUCCUCAGCCUCAGGGCCCUGGAGAGGCCCCACCCUCCCUGGGUCUGGCUUGAGAGCCCACCUGGCCAAAGGGAAACCUCGCACCCCCACGCGCUCCUGGCCCCUGGAAUAUCUUGGUGACUAAGAAGGGAAAGGACUGCAUUUCUCUCUCCUCUGCUGCACGAAUCCCCAUUGGGAGAGAGAGUGUUGAAGAGGACACUCAGGUCCCUAGGCGGAGCUCCUGCCACACCCCAAGUAUGGACAGCUCCAGGACACAGAGCUGCAGGUGGGGACCUCCCCCUGCUCUGGAAAUCAGCCAGGGAGCACUGGGCAGUGCGGUUUGAGGCUCUGUACCCCUGGCCCCCACAGCUCAGCCACAGCACCCUCUAGCUUGGGGGACUAGUCCAGGGCCAAAAUGGGAUAACCCUUCCCCAUAUAAGCAGUAGGAUGGCGUCCCCCCUGGUGGAGAGAGGAAGGAGGCCUAGAGGGUGUGGGGCAGCUUCGAAGCGCGGGGAGCCGGGGGUCUCCAAGCACCUUCUCCUGGACAUGCCAGCCUUGAAUGGGGGAUGUGCAGGGCUUCAAACCCACCUGGCAGGAGCCCUGUGGCAGGGCAGAGGGACCCUGCUCCAAAUUCUCUGUUGGCUGCGCUUUUGUAUCCAAUGCUUUUCAGAGUGUAUUCACUCACCCACAGAAAUAGAGCCCUGUGCUUUAGGGGUGACUGUCAUAUGCCUUAUUCUUAAUAAAAUCUCUGAAAAACACGUGAGUCCAAUCUCUUGCAUUGGGCACUCGGCCCCACCACACCUCGGUUCUUGCAGGUGUGGGAAGAGCAUGUGGAUGAGCCAGGAGGUGGUUCAGGGUCAGCCAGGGGGUACGAUGAGACCAGGAGCUGAGACUCUGGGGUCCCCUCAG
rnacentral:lncRNA from 10 species